rnacentral:rRNA from 14 species
GCAAUAACAGGUCUGUGAUGCCCUUAGAUGUCCUGGGCCGCACGCGCGCUACACUGACACACGCAACGAGUAUUCCUUGUCCGAAAGGUCUGGGUAAUCUUUUAAAUGUGUGUCGUGAUAGGGAUAGAUUAUUGCAAUUAUUAAUCUUGAACGAGGAAUUCCUAGUAAACGCAGUUCAUCAGACUGCAUUGAUUACGUCCCUGCCCUUUGUACACACCGCCCGUCGCACCUACCGAUUGAAUGUCUCGGUGAAAUCCCCGGAC